rnacentral:lncRNA from 1 species
GGACCUCUUGACCAUCCUUCAUCAUUGUAGCAUUAUACUGAUACGACACAACUUUAUCAGAUGAAUACGGGACUGGGCUCGCUAACCGUAUUACCAACGGUGAUACUGAUCUUUGACUGUUGUUGUUACUGGAGUCAUACUAAAUCACCAACUUCUCAGGCUGCUUGAAAACAGACACUAUGACAUUAACAUCGUCAUCUAUAUGACGGGAUUGAACAAUUUGUAUCAUG